rnacentral:rRNA from 1 species
AGGAGAGCUUGCUCUCUGGGUGACGAGCGGCGGACGGGUGAGUAAUGUCUGGGAAACUGCCUGAUGGAGGGGGAUAACUACUGGAAACGGUAGCUAAUACCGCAUGACCUCGCAAGAGCAAAGUGGGGGACCUUCGGGCCUCACGCCAUCGGAUGUGCCCAGAUGGGAUUAGCUAGUAGGUGGGGUAAUGGCUCACCUAGGCGACGAUCCCUAGCUGGUCUGAGAGGAUGACCAGCCACACUGGAACUGAGACACGGUCCAGACUCCUACGGGAGGCAGCAGUGGGGAAUAUUGCACAAUGGGCGCAAGCCUGAUGCAGCCAUGCCGCGUGUGUGAAGAAGGCCUUAGGGUUGUAAAGCACUUUCAGCGAGGAGGAAGGGUUGAGUGUUAAUAGCACUGAACAUUGACGUUACUCGCAGAAGAAGCACCGGCUAACUCCGUGCCAGCAGCCGCGGUAAUACGGAAGGUGCGAGCGUUAAUCGGAAUUACUGGGCGUAAAGCGCACGCAGGCGGUUUGUUAAGUCAGAUGUGAAAUCCCCGAGCUUAACUUGGGAACUGCAUUUGAAACGGGCAAGCUAGAGUCUUGUAGAGGGGGGUAGAAUUCCAGGUGUAGCGGUGAAAUGCGUAGAGAUCUGGAGGAAUACCGGUGGCGAAGGCGGCCCCCUGGACAAAGACUGACGCUCA